rnacentral:rRNA from 1 species
GAUGAACGCUGGCGGCGUGCCUAAUACAUGCAAGUCGAGCGAACGGACGAGAAGCUUGCUUCUCUGAUGUUAGCGGCGGACGGGUGAGUAGCACGUGGAUAACCUACCUAUAAGACUUGGAUAACUUCGGGACACCGUAGCUAAUACCGGAUAAUAUUUUGAACCGCAUGGUUCAUAGGUGAGAGACGGUCGUGCUGGCACUUCUAGAUGGAUCCGCGCUGCAUUAGCUAGUUGGUAAGGUCACGGCUUACCAAGGCAACGAUGCAUAGCCGACCUGAGAGGGUGAGCGGCCACACUGGAACUGAGACACGGUCCCGACUCCGACGGGAGGCAGCAGUAGGAGAUCUUCCGCAAAGGGCGAAGACCUGACGGAGCAACGCCGCGUGAGGGAUGAAGGUCUUCGGCUCGUAAAACUCUGUUAUGAGGGAGGAACAUAUGUGUAAGUAAAUGUGCACAUCUUGACGGUACCUAAUCAGAAAGCCAAGGCUAACUACGUG